GAUGAAGAACGUAGCGAAAUGCGAUAAGUAAUGUGAAUUGCAGAAUUCAGUGAAUCAUCGAAUCUUUGAACGCACAUUGCGCCCCUUGGUAUUCCGAGGGGCAUGCCUGUUCGAGCGUCAUUAUAACCCCUCAAGCUCAGCUUGGUGUUGGGGCCUGCCGCACGGGCAGCCCUUAAAAUCAGUGGCGGUGCCAUCUGGCUCUAAGCGUAGUAAUUCUUCUCGCUAUAGAGUCCCGGUGGAUGCUUGCCAUUAUCCCCCAAUUUUCUAUGGUUGACCUCGGAUCAGGUAGGGAUACCCGCUGAACUUAAGCAUAUCAAUAAGCGGAGGA
rnacentral:misc_RNA from 1 species